AAAAGAGCCCUACAUUCUAGAAUGACAGCAUCACGGAACCUUAUUCAUAGAACCUUAGAGAAUAAAAGAGAUCUUAGAAGGUAUUAAAUUCAACACCCGUUAGAACCUCUUCUUUAUUGUUAGCUAUCCUUUGUAGGCCUCUUUCUCUCUUCAUUCCUUGUGUCAUUUUGCUUCAAGAAAAGCAUUUUCUAAACCUUAAAGUUUGUGACCUAUCAAUAAGUAUGCUUUUUUUGGCUGGCACAAAAAAUCAUAAAUGUCACAAAUAUCGAUAUUUAAGGGAUCUUAGAGGUUAACUAGUUCACCAUCACUACUUCCUUUUAACAAAUAAGGAAACAGACUCACAAAGAUUAAGUGCCUUACUCAAGAUAAGUCACAGAUAAUAAAUCUCAGAGGAGAAAUCAAUGGACCAGGAAAGACCUAAAGAAGAUAAAAGUUGAGUUCAGAAGGAAAUCAUGGAAACCAGGAGGUAGAGGAAUAAAAGAAGAACAUUUCAGGAAAGAAAUAUGACAAAUCCUGCCCCCAGGAGAAGAAAGUGCCUGACCUCUAAAAGUCUGUCCUGCCUCCUGGAGAAAGGAGAAGCCUGACCUCCAAGAGAGCAACCUACUUCCAGGGGAAAGGGGGAAGAUUGACCUUCAAAAGAAAGACCCCACUUGGCAGAUCAUCUCUAAACUGAAUUUGUGUAAUCUAGUUCUUUUGCAUAAAGUAUAAAUACCAGCCAGUUCAUAAUUUCAAGGUUUCAGAUAAUACUAGGAAUGCCUGUAGACCACUGAUCAUGUUUGAGCCUGAGAAGAAUUGGCAUUAAAGUCAGUUAUGCUCAGAAGAUUGUUUCCUGGUACUUUUAAAAUUCAACAUGGGAAGAUGUUCAUUGUAACUCUUAAGAACUUUAUUAGGGCAGUUUGACGGAGUAUACAUAGACAGAGGGCACAGAAUGAUAUCUUAAAAACCACAAAAUUAAGAAGAGAGAAAGGGAAAUGCACUGGGAGAAGAAGGAAAGAGAGAUAGAAAGGGAUAAAUUAUUUCACAUGAAGAGAACAAAAGAAUUAAUGCAGUGGAGAGGAUGAGGGGUGGCAGGCAAUGUUUGAACCUUAACUCUCAUCAGAAUCAGCUCGAGAGGGAAUAAUAUCCACACUCAAUUGGAUAUAGAAAUCUAUCUUAUCCUAUAGGAAGACAGGAAGAAAGAGGGUAUAAAAUUAGGGAGCUGUGACCCUGGGCAAGUCACUUAACUCCCCUUCCCUUACUAUUCUGCCUUGGAACAAAUACACAGUAUUGAUUCUAAGAAUGGGAAAGGCUGAAAAGAAAUAGAGAAGGAAAAUGGGGUGAAACAAGAUGGAGGGAAACACACAGUAGUCAAUACUAUCAAUGCCUGAUGCUAAUGGGAUAAACUUAGCCAUAAAAUGUAAGUAGAUAGCAAAGUGGAUUAAAAACCAGAAUCGCACAAUAAGUUACUUACAAGAAACACAUUUAAAGCAGAGACACACAUAGUAUAAAGGGCUAGAGCAGAAUUUAUUACACUUCAGUUGAAAUUAAAAAAAAAAAGCAGGGGUAACAA